AUUGAACGCUGGCGGAAUGCUUUACACAUGCAAGUCGAACGGCAGCACGGGGGCAACCCUGGUGGCGAGUGGCGAACGGGUGAGUAAUACAUCGGAACGUGCCCGGUCGUGGGGGAUAACGUAGCGAAAGUUACGCUAAUACCGCAUACGAUCUGAGGAUGAAAGCGGGGGACCUUCGGGCCUCGCGCGAUCGGAGCGGCCGAUGUCAGAUUAGGUAGUUGGUGGGGUAAAGGCCUACCAAGCCGACGAUCUGUAGCUGGUCUGAGAGGACGACCAGCCACACUGGGACUGAGACACGGCCCAGACUCCUACGGGAGGCAGCAGUGGGGAAUUUUGGACAAUGGGCGCAAGCCUGAUCCAGCCAUUCCGCGUGCAGGACGAAGGCCUUCGGGUUGUAAACUGCUUUUGUAUGGAACGAAAAGGCUCUGGCUAAUACCUGGGGAUCAUGACGGUACCGUAAGAAUAAGCACCGGCUAACUACGUG
rnacentral:rRNA from 1 species